AGAGUUUGAUCCUGGCUCAGGAUGAACGCUAGCUACAGGCUUAACACAUGCAAGUCGGGGGGAAACGACAUCGAAAGCUUGCUUUUGAUGGGCGUCGACCGGCGCACGGGUGAGUAACGCGUAUCCAACCUGCCCACCACUUGGGGAUAACCUUGCGAAAGUAAGACUAAUACCCAAUGACGUCUCUAGAAGACAUCUGAAAGAGAUUAAAGAUUUAUCGGUGAUGGAUGGGGAUGCGUCUGAUUAGCUUGGUUGGCGGGGUAACGGCCACCAAGGCGACGAUCAGUAGGGGUUCUGAGAGGAAGGUCCCCACAUUGGAACUGAGACACGGUCCAAACUCCUACAGGAGCA
rnacentral:rRNA from 1 species